rnacentral:rRNA from 1 species
AACGAACGCUGGCGGCAUGCCUAACACAUGCGAGUCGAACGAGACCUUCGGGUCUAGUGGCGCACGGGUGCGUAACGCGUGGGAACCUGCCCUUAGGUUCGGAAUAACCCCCCGAAAGGGGUGCUAAUACCGGAUAAUGUCUUCGGACCAAAGAUUUAUCGCCUUUGGAUGGGCCCGCGUUGGAUUAGCUAGUUGGUAGGGUAAAAGCCUACCAAGGCGGCGAUCCAUAGCUGGUCUGAGAGGAUGAUCAGCCACACUGGGACUGAGACACGGCCCAGACUCCUACGGGAGGCAGCAGUGGGGAAUAUUGGACAAUGGGCGAAAGCCUGAUCCAGCAAUGCCGCGUGAGUGAUGAAGGCCUUAGGGUUGUAAAGCUCUUUUACCCGGGAUGAUAAUGACAGUACCGGGAGAAUAAGCGCCGGCUAACUCCGUG